CCCCUAGAUGUUCUGGGCCGCACGCGCGCUACACUGAACAGUUCAACAAGUCUUAACCUUGGCCGAUAGGUCUGGGUAAUCUUUGAACGCUGUUUGUGAUUGGGAUAGACCUUUGCAAUUAUGGGUCUUCAACGAGGAAUUCCUAGUAAACGCAAGUCAUCAGCUUGCAUUGAUUACGUCCCUGCCCUUUGUACACACCGCCCGUCGCACCUACCGAUUGAAUGGUCCGGUGAAAUCUCGGGACGGCGGCUCGGUCGCUUGCGUCCGACUGCUGAAACUUGAUUAAACCAUAUCAUUUAGAGGAAGGUGAAGUCGUAACA
rnacentral:rRNA from 1 species